rnacentral:rRNA from 1 species
CCUACGGGAGGCAGCAGUGGGGAAUAUUGCACAAUGGGCGCAAGCCUGAUGCAGCGACGCCGCGUGAGGGAUGACGGCCUUUGGGUUGUAAACCUCUUUCAGCAGGGAAGAAGCGCAAGUGACGGUACCUGCAGAAGAAGCACCGGCUAACUACGUGCCAGCAGCCGCGGUAAUACGUAGGGUGCGAGCGUUGUCCGGAAUUAUUGGGCGUAAAGAGCUUGUAGGCGGUUUGUCGCGUCUGCCGUGAAAAUCCGGGGCUCAACCCCGGACUUGCGGUGGGUACGGGCAGACUAGAGUGUGGUAGGGGAGACUGGAAUUCCUGGUGUAGCGGUGAAAUGCGCAGAUAUCAGGAGGAACACCGAUGGCGAAGGCAGGUCUCUGGGCCAUUACUGACGCUGAGAAGCGAAAGCAUGGGGAGCGAACAGGAUUAGAUACCCUGGUAGUCCAUGCCGUAAACGUUGGGAACUAGGUGUGGGCCUCAUUCCACGAGGUCCGUGCCGCAGCUAACGCAUUAAGUUCCCCGCCUGGGGAGUACGGCCGCAAGGCUAAAACUCAAGGAAUUGACGG